rnacentral:rRNA from 1 species
AGUGAACGCUGGCGGUAGGCCUAACACAUGCAAGUCGAACGGCAGCACAGUAAGAGCUUGCUCUUACGGGUGGCGAGUGGCGGACGGGUGAGGAAUACAUCGGAAUCUACUUUUUCGUGGGGGAUAACGUAGGGAAACUUACGCUAAUACCGCAUACGACCUACGGGUGAAAGCAGGGGCUCUUCGGCCCUUGCCCUCUUGAAUGAGCCGAUGUCGGAUUAGCUAGUUGGGGGGGUAAAGGCCCAACCAGGGCGCGAUCCCUAGCCGGUCUGAGAGGAUGAACCGCCAAACUGGAAAUGGGAACAGGGCCCGACCCCCACGGGAGGGAGCAGGGGGGAAAAUUGGACAAUGGGGGCAAGCCUGAUGCAGCCCAGCCCGGGGGAGGAAGAAGGCCUUCGGGUUUUAAAGGCCUUUUUGUGGGGAGAAAGAGAGAAAAGUUAAUACCCCCGCUGUUUGACGGUAACCAAAGAAAAAGCCCCGGCUAACUCCGUG